rnacentral:tRNA from 1 species
AAUAAAAUGCCUGAAUUAAAAUAGGAUUAUCUUGAUAGGAUAAAACAUGUGUCUAAUGCACUUUUAUUA